GGACAGGGCUGGGGGGCGGAGGUGAGCCUGCGGCUGAAGGGGCUUCAAAUACACACAAACGGUCCCGACUGGAGACGUUAAAACUCUGCACUGGAAUACUUCUGAACCCAGCUGGCCGAGGGGAACCCUGAGGAACCCCUGGAGUAAAUGAGGCACAACUGCACAACGACGUGCCGGCCUGGAGGAAAGCACAGCGGGGCUUGCAGAGAAUUCCAGAACUUUAACGCGCUUAGAGCCCUCUGCCACAGCCCACUCACUCUGCCAACGAGGAAACUAAAAGCCAGAAGAGGUGACUUGCUGGAGAUGACCUGGGAGUGAGUGGCGGGGCUGGGAUAAACUGUGUUCUUGAUUCUUCUGGCAGGCAGGGGCUCGCCUUCUCUUACACCAGGGGCAUUGCUGCUUUGACCUCGAGGAACUGGCAUCCCCGGGCCUGACACAGAGCUCCCCUGCGGUGCACUGGGGAAUGGGUCACCCUGGAGGAUGUGAGCGGAUUUCUCAAGGAAGGUGGAUCCCUGAGUGCCUGCACGCAGGACAGUCCCAGAACUCCCUGGACUCAACUCCUGAGAGCUCCCCAACCUCUUGGCACUCCAGUGAUGGCCCCUCUCUAAAUGCCGCAGCCCAUGUUUGUGAAAGGAUUUCAAUCUGAAAUGGAACCAGAAGACAUAAAAUGGAAAAUCUCAUGCAUGUGCCCGCAGAAAAAUAAAACUUCAGGACUAAGAAACAGAGUUUCUGUAAAUGCCCAGUUUACAGAAAAGUGAUAAUAUUACAGUUUUCUUAAAUGAGAGGGCCUUGGUCAGAGGUUGCC